AAAAAAAAAAAAAAAAAAAAAAAAAAAGAUAAUUAGCCUCUGGCUAUAAAUUUUCUUGACUGCUCUUAGAGGCUAUUAUAAUGACUAUUUUCCCUAUAGUCCCCAAUUGUAUCUCUUUGUAGAUAUGUAUGUUGAAUCCUUACAAGGUCAUGUCAUUCGGAAUGUUAAAAUUCGUGUUUGUUUUUUUUGAUUUUUUUAAAGAUAGGAUUCAAAUGAAAUGGACAAAAUGCAAUCAAUGGCCCAAAUGUGAAGAAAAUACAUUGCACUAAAUUCUAACUCUGAUUCACACUGUAGGAGUGAUAAAGUACCUAAAAUUAGGAAACUCGUCAAAAACGUCACUCUAAGUGAAAUAUAUGGCAGGAAUUGAAUUGAGCCCAUCACUAACCGUUUGUUUGUUUGUUUGUUUGUUUUGGUCAGGGAAUGAAGACACUGGGACAAGAACAGAUCACGAAAACCAAGAUAUAAUACACUCAUCUAAGCCCAUGUUGAAAGAUCCUGUGUUACUGUUCCUGGACUGAACUUUGGAAAUAAGUAUUACAAAUUUCAGGUCUGGAAUCACGGAUGAAGCCCUUGGUGAUGUGACCAGCGUCAAGCCUGGAGCUGUAAGAACAUCACCCCAGAGAGGGAGAAGGAAAAGGAGGAGGCCACCGCUGCUGGGUCCUGUGCCUUGCGGGGAUGCUUCCUUCCUGCUCAUGGCUGUUUGUGACAGAGGGUAUCAGGCCCACCAGAGGCUGCCUGGCUCUCUGCUUUCUCGGAGCCUGGGUCGAACCCCCCGGCCUGACAAACUCCAAAGCAGGACUUAUUUCCAGCCCGAGCUGAGCUAUAGCAGUGAGUGACCCAGUCUCAUUAUGCAGCCAGCAUCUCCUGGAACUCCAGAUAGUUAAGUUUUGUAUGUCCAUCGCUUCUCAGCCUCUUGGCUAAGAACAAGUGUAGUUUUGUAUGUCCAUUUUAUAAAAGAGAGAAAUGAAAUGUACAAGACAAAGUAUUUCUCUGGAGCCAUGGUUCCCCCACGUCGUUGUGCUUCAGCCUCUGCACGUGCUGUGACAUCUGUCCUACACGCCAUCCCCCAGGCUUGUCAAGUCCCCACUGGAAGGCCAGCUUCUCAGGGAGGCUUCCUGACACGUCUGAGUAGAGCACCUCAUCCUCUCCACCCUCCUCCUUAGCUGUGUCUCCACGGCCCAU
rnacentral:lncRNA from 1 species